rnacentral:misc_RNA from 1 species
GAUUAAAAUAAGACCCAAAGUGAUUCUUUGCAAUGGUCCUGGGACUUGCAUUCCUCUCUGUGUCAUUGCAUUUUUGUUCAAGGUGGUAGGAAUUAGGUGGUCAUCUGUUUUUUAUGUUGAGAGUAUAGCAAGAGUGAAAAGGCUCUCCUUAAGUGGUUUGCUUCUCUACAAGUUGAAAAUAGCUGAUCAGUUUUAUGUGCAAUGGGCACAACUACAAAGAAAAUAUCCUCGAGCCCAUUAUGUUGGUUCUCUCAUGUAGUUGAUCAUGUUGUAACAAUGUUGCGGUACUCACUUAGAACCUCCAAGUUCUGAGUCUAAUAGUUUUACAUUUUAGUGGUAUUCUAGUUCUUCUUCCCAAACUUCAGAUGCAUGUCAGAAGUAGAGAUGCAUAUGUGAACUGUGGAUGCCCAGGAGCUGGAGAGAGAGAUAAGAGCAAGUUAAUCUUCAUAAAAUUCUUAUU